rnacentral:rRNA from 1 species
AGCGAACGCUGGCGGUAGGCCUAACACAUGCAAGUCGAACGGCAGCACAGUAAGAGCUUGCUCUUACGGGUGGCGAGUGGCGGACGGGUGAGGAAUACAUCGGAAUCUACUUUUUCGUGGGGGAUAACGUAGGGAAACUUACGCUAAUACCGCAUACGACCUACGGGUGAAAGCAGGGGAUCUUCGGACCUUGCGCGAUUGAAUGAGCCGAUGUCGGAUUAGCUAGUUGGCGGGGUAAAGGCCCACCAAGGCGACGAUCCGUAGCUGGUCUGAGAGGAUGAUCAGCCACACUGGAACUGAGACACGGUCCAGACUCCUACGGGAGGCAGCAGUGGGGAAUAUUGGACAAUGGGCGCAAGCCUGAUCCAGCCAUACCGCGUGGGUGGAGAAGGCCUUCGGGUUGUAAAGCCCUUUUGUUGGGAAAGAAAAGCAGCAGGUUAAUACCCCGCUGUUCUGACGGUACCCAAAGAAUAAGCACCGGCUAACUUCGUG